GAUGAACGCUGGCGGCGUGCCUAAUACAUGCAAGUCGAGCGAACAGACGAGGAGCUUGCUCCUCUGACGUUAGCGGCGGACGGGUGAGUAACACGUGGAUAACCUACCUAUAAGACUGGGAUAACUUCGGGAAACCGGAGCUAAUACCGGACAAUAUAUUGAACCGCAUGGUUCAAUAGUGAACGACGGUUUUGCUGUCACUUAUACAUGGCUCCGCGCCGCAUUAGCUAGUUGGUAAGGUAACGGCUUACCAAGGCAACGAUGCGUAGCCGACCUGAGAGAGUGAUCGGCCACACUGGAACUGAGACACGGUCCAGACUCCUACGGGAGGCAGCAGUAGGGAAUCUUCCGCAAUGGGCGAAGGCCUGACGGAGCAACGCCGCGUGAGUGAUGAAGGUCUUCGGAUCGUAAAACUCUGUUAUUAGGGAAGAACGAAUGUGUAAGUAACUAUGCACGUCUUGACGGUACCUAAUCAGAAAGCCACGGCUAACUACGUG
rnacentral:rRNA from 1 species